UCUGAGGAACAUGUUUUGUUUUUUGUUAUAUUUAACAGAAUAGGAAAUGUUUUAUUUAUUGGAAAUAAUGUUUGUGGUUGUAAUUGGGCAGCGGCCAGACAACAGUAGGGAUGGUAUCCACAGAUGGUGGGUUUUUUCACUCUCACUCGUCUACUGAUUCCAUCCCAUAUAU
rfam:Lupinus angustifolius cultivar Tanjil contig_15388, whole genome shotgun sequence.